rnacentral:SRP_RNA from 1 species
CCGACCGCCGGGCGCGGUGGCGCGUGCCUGUAGUCCCAGCUACUCGGGAGGCUGAGGUGGGAGGAUCGCUUGAGCCCAGGAGUUCUGGGCUGUAGUGCGCUAUGCCGAUCGGGUGUCCGCACUAAGUUCGGCAUCAAUAUGGUGACCUCCCGGGAGCGGGGGACCACCAGGUUGCCUAAGGAGGGGUGAACCGGCCCAGGUCGGAAACGGAGCAGGUCGGAAACGGAGCAGGUCAAAACUCCCGUGCUGAUCAGUAGUGGGAUUGCGCCUGUGAAUAGCCACUGCACUCCAGCCUGGGCAACAUAG